rnacentral:misc_RNA from 1 species
AUUUCUGCCUUCUCGAACAGAAGAGUUACAAGAGUUUUAGGUUUCAUUGAAAAUGUACUCACAACUUGAUCCAAAAAUAACUGAUGAGGCAAGAAAUUUUGGAUUUAAGGCUGUAAAAGAUGAUUUUGUUGCAAACUUUUUAAAAGCAACUCUUCCGGAAAAAAGGUUACGUAAAGGGGAGAUAGAAAAUCUUGAAUACUUUAAACAAAACCUAGAUAACAAGCCUAUAAAGAAAAGGAAACUUAAAGAAUCCAAAAGAAAGAGUCUUACAUCUCGAGAGCGAAGAAAACUGAAGUUGUUUGACAUUCCAAAGGAAGGACAUAAAUUUGAAACAUAUCUACCUAUGCAUGAUCUAUGGAAAGAGUACAUGAAACAAACUUUGGGGUUGACAGAUAAGAGCAAGCCUUUUGAUCAGUAUAACUGUGAAAGCAUCCUGAAAGCGGACUUUCAUGGAUGUUUCCUAACAGUUUCCAAGUCCUGUUGUCUUCUUACAUUGGUGCUACUGGGAUUGUUAUCAUGGAAACCAAGAAUACAUUUAAAUUUAUUACCAAACAGGAUCAAGUAAAGUGCAUCCCAAAGAAAGGCAGCGUUUUCAUGUUUGAAAUUGAUGGACAUUACAUCACACUAUAUGGCAACAAUUUCUGUUGUCAGCCAGUUUUAAGAUCUACACAUAAAUUCAAGCCAAAGAAAUAUGUUGCAAUAUGAAAAUUAAUAAAUGUAAUCUCAC